rnacentral:tRNA from 1 species
CAUUAGAUGACUGAAAGCAAGUAAUGGUCUCUUAAACCACUCCACAGUAGACUAGCGACUACUUCUAAUGA